AAACGACUCUCGGCAACGGAUAUCUCGGCUCUCGCAUCGAUGAAGAACGUAGCGAAAUGCGAUACUUGGUGUGAAUUGCAGAAUCCCGUGAACCAUCGAGUCUUUGAACGCAAGUUGCGCCCGAAGCCUUCGGGCCGAGGGCACGUCUGCCUGGGCGUCACG
rnacentral:rRNA from 1 species